AUGUUGAGGCAAGGACGAAUAGCACCAAGCACCAGCCCCUUUUCCUCCCCUGUGCUGUUGGUCAAGAAGAAUGAUCAGACAUGGCGUUUCUGUGUGGAUUUCCGGCAUCUGAAUGCCAUCACAGUUAAGAACUGUUACUCCUUGCCCAUCAUUGACGAACUCCUCGAUGAGUUGGCAGGUUCUUACUGGUUCUCGAAGCUUGAUUUACGGGCGGGAUACCAUCAAAUCAGGUUGGACGAGCAGGAUGAGGAGAAAACUGCUUUUAAAACUCAUCAAGGACACUUCCAGUUCCGCGUGCCUCCAUAUGGGGUGACAGGGGGCCCGAGCACCUUCCAAGGGGGCAUG
rnacentral:rRNA from 1 species